GCACUGCUGAGGAGUCCCAUACUAGGACGAAAUGUUUGUCCAGUGC
rfam:Schistosoma mansoni, Puerto Rico, WGS project CABG01000000 data, contig: 0013